AAGAAACAGGUACACGAAUACCAUCAAUAUCUACUGGAGAAGCAGCAAUGAAGGCGAUAAUGAAUACAGAAGUUGCGGUCAAUAAGGUAGGGAUCAUCAAAACACCGAACCAUCCAAUGUAAAGACGGUUUUCAGUGCUGGUUAUCCAGUUGCAGAAGCGACCCCAUAGGCUUGUACUUUCG